rnacentral:rRNA from 1 species
UAGGGAAUCUUCGGCAAUGGACGAAAGUCUGACCGAGCAACGCCGCGUGAGUGAAGAAGGUUUUCGGAUCGUAAAACUCUGUUGUUAGAGAAGAACAAGGACGUUAGUAACUGAACGUCCUCUGACGGUAUCUAACCAGAAAGCCACGGCUAACUACGUGCCAGCAGCCGCGGUAAUACGUAGGUGGCAAGCGUUGUCCGGAUUUAUUGGGCGUAAAGCGAGCGCAGGCGGUUUCUUAAGUCUGAUGUGAAAGCCCCCGGCUCAACCGGGGAGGGUCAUUGGAAACUGGGAGACUUGAGUGCAGAAGAGGAGAGUGGAAUUCCAUGUGUAGCGGUGAAAUGCGUAGAUAUAUGGAGGAACACCAGUGGCGAAGGCGGCUCUCUGGUCUGUAACUGACGCUGAGGCUCGAGAGCGUGGGGAGCAAACAGG